AGUCGCUCGCUCGCUCAUCCACUCGGGCGGCGGCCGGGCCUCAGGCGCUGCGACCCUUUUCCCGCUCCUCCCAGGCUGACGCGCCCGUCUCGGCGCCGCCCUCCUCGGCACCGACUGAGGCGCUGGCCCGGGAGCGGAUCGCGGGGCCGCGGUGGCUGAGUCACAUUCCCGGAGCCCCGCCACCCAGGACACCGCGGCCCCGGCCCCCAGCGAGCCCGGCGGACCCAGCGGCUCUGAACGCGGACGCACAGCCUUUGUUCUUUCACAGCCGCCCUUUACCUCACUCCCAUGGAAACCCCAGGUGUUUUCCCAAGCUGGGGGCUUUUAGUGAGUUCAAGAUUCAAGCCUAAGUCGUAUUAAAAAUUGCUGGCUAGGCCGGGCGCGGUGGCUCACGCCUGUAAUCUCAGCGCUUUGGGAGCCCAAGGCAGGAGGAUCACUUGAGCCCAGGAGUUCCAGACCAGCCUGAGUACAUAGCGAGACCCACGUCUCCACAAAAAUAAAAUAAAAUAAAAUAAAUAGUGGAGCAUGGUGGCCCGCGCCUGUAGUCCCAGCUACUCGGGAGGCUGAGGUGGGAGAAUCGCUUGAGGCCGGGAGGUGAAGGUUGCGGUAAGCCGAGAUCGCGCCAUUGCACUCCAUCCUGGGCGACUGAGUGAGACCCUGCCUAAAAAAAAAAAAAAACAAAAAAAGAAAAAAAAAUUGCUGGCCAGGCUUCCCGGAGGGGUUUAGUUUGACUGCUAACAAUAUACGGUACUGAGUUGCUAAUCCUUCGGGGAAUGGUUAAAGUUCUUUGCGCGCGCUCUCUCUCCAUUUACAGGCAGUGGCAGCAAACUUUCAAUAUCUGACAAGAGCAAUGGCGAUUAUAACCAUGAUUAAAAUUGCUGAAUAUCUGGAAACAGUACUUUAGACAUCAGCUUUAUUGUGCAUACUUACCCCCGACCCCCGCCACAUUCGUUUCUAAUUAGAACUACUAGUGACAAAGGAGAAAAAAAAAAAGUGUUUGCAUUGGCUGUUCUCACCUUGCCUGUAGUGCCGUUUCCCAAGUUUGCGUGGCAGUGCCCAGGAAAUGUUGGCUGAAUAUUAGUAUAUCCCAAAUGACUUGGACUGGGCUAUAGAUACCACAGAAUUGUUUAAACUAGCCAGGAAGGAGUUAGCUGCCUAUUGCAUUUGAGUGGAGAAAAAUACGAAAUGAAACAUGGCAUGCAGUGAUCCGGGUGUUCAGUUCUCCCUCUUCAUCCUCAUUUCAGCUUCUCUCACCUUCACUUUUUAUGCUCUGACUUCCUUCUUGCAGUUUUAAAUUACUCUCUAGUCCUAGAUUGUAAGAUUAUUUUCAUCAGGGAAUACGCAGUAUGUUAAACAUAGUAGACGUUGAAUAAAUGGAUAUUGAUCAAAUGAACCGAGUAUGUCUGAAGAAAGCAGCUUUUAAAUUGACAUAGCAUGAAGCUCUAGCUUAGUCACUAAUAGUCACUGUAACCUUAAUGGUUGUGUUAAUCUGGCUGAUAGAGGGAUGGGUACUUGUUGGCCCUAGAAAUGGGAACUUCAAAGAUCUGUGUUUAUCUAGCCGUGAAUGACAGUAGACAGUGGAAAGGGACAGUGAAAUUUGUGUGGCAGAGAUAUGUCUUCUUAACUAAAGAGGUGACUCCUAUUGUGAAGUAGGUUAAUAUGUCACUCUUUACCAUGGCCUAGAUGAAAUAUGUAUUCAAGCUAGUGUUUCUUAAGUUUUUGAGUCAUAACUCCUUUGAGAAUUUGGUGAAAGCUAUUGACUUUGCCCCCAGAAAGUUCAUGUACUUAUCAUGUAACUUAUCCUCAUAGGUAGUGUUUCUUAAUCUCAGCACCGUUGAAAUUUGGGCUGGAUGAUUCUUUAUUAUGGGGCUCUGUGAGACCUGGGGAUUGUAGGAUGUUUAGCAACAUCCCUGUCUCCUACCUGCUUAUCCAAGUAGCACCUCAUCUCCAGUUGUGACAACUAAAAAUGUCUCCAGACAUUGUGAAAUGUUCUCAGGGGGUCAAAGUCUCCCCUGAUUCAGAACCACUGCCUAGAGGAUAUGGCAUAAUGGUAACUUUAUGUGAUGGUUAGGGAAUUUGAAAAAAAAAAAAAAAAAAAGAAACAAGGAAUGGAUAAGAUUCAACAUCUGUGAAGUGACACUCAGUAAAUGAAAGGCGGAUGAAUUAGCAUUACUACCAGCUGGUGUCCUACUUAUGUUAUAGAAAUGUGACAGCAAAUGUGAUAUGAACUCCUUAGAAGCAUUUUUAUACACAUUGCUGGCUUUAAUUGUGAAUGCUACAGUAACUCUCCUGACUGUUUUUCUUCUUCUGCCUUUAGACAAUUACCCAAGGUUAAGAUGCAAUAAACAUGUGCCUAUUUUCUAUCCAAAAUCUCAAUCAGAUUAAAAUGCUUCUCUAAAGACCUGAAAGGCUUAUUUGUUUAUUUGUAUUCAUGUAGGAUUUGGGGGGAUGAAAGAAUUGGUGAUUAAUCAACAAUAAACUUAGAACAGAAAUGGAUUUAUUUUUAUUUAUUUAUUUUUUACCAGCUCUUUCUCUUUCACUCGCUUCUGCAUGUUGAGAUUUCUCACACAUGCAACCUAGAUCUUCUUGUCUUCUUUAUAUUCUUUCUCCAAAGGAAUCUCAUUCACUGUUGUGCCUUUAAAUAGCAAGCUUCAGGUGACCCCCACAUUUCUAUCUCCAAAUUGACAUAUCCAAAUGCCUACUACUCAUCUCCCCUCUGAUGUCUUAUAGACAUUCACAUUUAAUAGCAUAUUGUAUUGAGUCUAAGGAGCCAUUAAUUGUAAGUCACAUUUAUGUCCACUAAGAUUAAAAAAUACUGCCAACUGAACUAUGACAAAAUGCUGAUAUCCUUGAUUCUAAGAUACAUCUUGAUUUCAGAGACUUUAAAAAUAGGCUUAAAAAAUAAUGUGAUUUACUAGAAUAGCACCAAAAAGAAUAAAAUACUUAGGAAUUAACUUACCAAGAGAAGUGCAAAACUUGUAUUCUAAACUCUAAAUAACAUUGUUGAAAGAAAUUAAAGACCUAAAUAAAUGGAAAGGUAUCUUAUGUUCAUGGAUCAGAACACUUUGUAAAGAUGGCAGUAAUUCCCAAGUUGAUCCACAGAUUCGGUGCAACCCCUAUCAAAAUCCUGUCUGGUAUCUUUACAUAAGCUUAUUCUAAAAUUUAUAUGGAAAUUCAAGGAGCCCAGAAUAGCCAAAACAACCUUGAAAAAAGAAUAAAAUUGGAAGAUUCACAUUUCCCAAUUUAAAAACUUAUUACAAAGCUAUAGUAAUUAAAACAGUGUGGUACUGGAAUAAGAUUAGACAUAUAAAUCAAUGAGGUAGGAUUGAGAGUCUAAAAAUAAACCUUCAUAUGUAUAGUCAAUUGAUUUUCAACACAGGCACCAAACAAAUUCAAUGGGGCAAGGAGUCUUCAGCAAAUAUUACUGGGAUAGCUAGAUAUCCACAUGUAAAAGAAUAAAGUUGAAUCCUAUCCUCAUACCAUAUACAAAAAUUAACUCAAAAUGGAUAGAAGACCUAAAUGUAAGUGCUAAAACAUAAAAGUCCUAGGAGAAAACAUAGGAGUAAAUAUGUAUGACCACGGGUUAAAAAAGCUUUUUUUUUUUUUUUUUUUUUUUUUUGAGACAGAGCCUUGCUUUGUCGCCAUGCUGGGGUGCAGUGGCGCAAUCUUGGCUCACUGCAACCUCCACCUCCCGGGUUCAAGAGAUUCUCCUGCCUCAGCCUCCCGAGUAGCUGGGACUACAGGCACACGCCACCAUGCCCAGCUAAUUUUUGUAUUUUUAGUAGAGAUGGGGUUUCACCAUGUUGGCCAGGAUGGUCUUGAUCUGUUGACCUCGUGAUUCACCUCAGGUGAUCCACCUGCAUCAGCCUCCCAAAGUGCUGGGAUUAUAGGCAUGAGCCACUGUGCCAGGCCAAAAAAGGCUUUUUAAGGUAUGACAUCAAAAGCAUUAGUGACAAAAGAAAAAAAACAGAUAAAUUGAACUUCAUCAAAAUUAAGAUACUUUGUGCUUCAAAAGAUGCCAUUAAAAAAAAAAAAGACCACCUACAGAAUGGGAGAAUAUGUUUGCAAAUUAUAUAUCUGAUAAAUGACUUCUAUCUAGAAUAUAUAAAGAAUGCUUACAACUUCAUACUAAGAAAGCAAAUACCCAAUUAAAAAAUAGGUGACGGAUCUGAUUAGCUACUUCUCCAAACAAGAUGCCCAAAUGGCUAAUAAGCACAUGAAAAAAUGCUCACCAUUCUUAGUCAUCAAAGAAUGCAAAUCAAAAUAUGAGAUAGUAUUAUACUUCACACGCACUGGGAUGGCUGUAAUCGAAAAGACAGAUGAUAACAAGUAUUGGAGAGGAGGUGAAGAAUUUAGAAACAGUCUGGUGGUUUUCCAAAAGAUAAACAUAGAGUCAUCAUAUAACCUAACAAUUCCAAUCCUAGAUAUAUAUCCAAGAGCAAUGAGAACAUACGUUCACACAAAAGUUUGUACAUUUUAAGCAGCAUUAUUCAUAAUAGCCAAAAAGUAGAAACAACCCAAAUAUUCAGCAGGUGAUGAACUGAGAAACUGUGGUAUGGCCAUAAAAUGAAAUAUUAUUUGGCCAUAAAAAGGAAUGAGGUUCUGAUACAUGCCUCAACUUGGAUGAACCUUGAAAACGUUAUGCUAAGUGAAAGGAGGUCCUUCCUUGAGCCCCCAUCUGAAUGAGGAGUCCUUGUACUUUUCAUCCUUUGAAUUUAUCAUGCAAUAUUAUGUAUUGUUUCAUGAAAUGUUUUACAUAUAUAUGUAUAUAUAAUGUAUAUGUGUAUAUAUAAUGUAUAUGUGUAUAUAUAUAAAUUUGUAGAAUUUCUCCUUUCCAUUUGAUUCCUAAAACAAUAACCUGUAACACCUGUGCUGUACUUACUAUCUACCAGGCACUGUUAUAUAUGCUUUAUAUAUUUUGAUUCAUUUAACCUUCUCAACAACUCUUAUGUAGCUGAGGUACAAAAUGGCUAAGUUAUCUAAGAUUACACAGCUAGUAAGUAGAAAAGCUAAGAUUUGGCUCCUGGCAGUCUUUUUCCUGAGGCUGAGCCGUGGUCCUGUGUAUACUAUAAGGGUGGUUCUGUAUCUGUUCUUUUUAUCCCUGUGUAGCCUGUAUUUAGCAUAGCAUCUGGCAUGAUGUAGGUACCCAAUAAAUAUUUGUUGAAUGAAUGUAAGUCUGAAUGAUUCCUUUAAACUCGGUUAGGAGACCUCCUAGGUAUCACAGAUUAUGAUGUACUUCCCUAAAAAUAGCACUUAUCUCACUGUGUUGUACUUGCCUGUUUAUCCAUAGAAGAUGAGCUCCCUCAGGUCCUGAGUUAUGUCUUGUUAACCAGCAUCUAGUACAGUGCCUGGCACCUAGCAGGUAGUUAAUAAGUAUCUGUAAAUGGAUGAAAUAAGAGAGUGGAUUGUGAAUGAAAUUACAAGUAUCAGUGACAAUCCGUGAGGCCAGUAUUUGAAAAUGAUUACCCCUGCCAUCCAGUUAAAGAUAGAGGCUUGAACACAUGCAUUUACCUCUACCCUUUGUUGGAAUCCCACUAAAAAUAAUGGUAAAGGAGUUUAUAAGAAAGCAUAAACUCCUUUACCAUUGAAGAAAAGAAAACAGAAGAGAAGAAUGUAGCAGAAUUUUGGAAGCUGCAAAGUAAGUAAACAAGUGGUAACUGAUUUAGGAGAGAAGAGGGUUUCUGGACUGAAGGGGCAGCAAGCAUGAGUGGGGGUAGCAAAACAG
rnacentral:lncRNA from 1 species